AAUGUGCGCCGACACUGGACAAGUCGGAGGCAGCACCACGUGUACUGUGUUGACUGUCAAAGCGUCAAGGAGCCCAAUUCCCGGAAGCUGUGAGUUCUAAAAGAAGUUCCUGUACUCUAGUGUCCCGGCUCUGCGAACCCCAAUCAUGAGCGCCCCGGGAGUGCUCUCCUUUACCCAGCAAGGUUGGGAGCAGGUGCUGGCCAAAGUGAAAUGGGCUCUGGUCUAUCUGGACGCCGCCUGCGCGGAGAGCUUGCAUUGGGGCUGCGGAUCCACGCGACUCCUGGAGGCGGUGGGAGAUCCUGCGUGUCACCUGCGGGAGUUCGAGCCCGCAGCUGUCGGUGGUGGAGCCGAGCAGCCUAAGGCGGUGUUUGUGCUGAGCUGCCUGCUGAAAGGCCGGACCGUGGAGACCCUGCGGGAUAUCAUCUGCCGCAGUCACUUCCAGUAUUGUGUGGUGGUCACAGCCGUGAACCACGCUGUCCACCUCACCGCUAAUCACGUGCCGGCGGCUGCAGCGGCGGAGCUGGAAGGGCAGCCGGUGUUCGAGCAACUGGAGGAGAAACUGUGUGAGUGGAUGGGCAAUAUGAACUACACGGCCGAGGUGCUGCACGUCCCGUUUUUGCUCGCACCUGUUGCUCCCCACCUUGCCUUGACUCCAGCCUUUGCUUCCCUUUUUCCACUGCUACCCCAGGAUGUGCAUCUCCUUAACAGUGCCCGACCAGACAAGAGGAGGCUAGGAAGCCUGAGUGAGGUGGAUGCCACUGCCCUGCCCCCUGAGCUGCUUCUGCAGAUCAGGUGCCUGGUGUCAGGCCUCAGUUCUCUGUGUGAACAUUUAGGGGUGCGGGAGGAGUGUUUUGCUGUAGGUUCCCUCAGUCGGAUCAUCGCUGCAGAUCUGGCUAAUUAUGGCCCUGCCAAGAACAGGAGGAAGACUGCCACAGGCAGGGCAUCAGUGGUCUUUGUAGACAGAACUUUGGAUCUCACGGGAGCAGUUGGACAUCACGGAGACAACUUGGUAGAGAAGAUCAUUUCAGUGCUUCCCCAGCUUCCAGGCCACACCAAUGACGUGAUGGUUAACAUGGUGGAGCUUACGGCACUCCAAAAUGAGGAGAAAAAUCAGAGUAUGGUUGCACCAGGCUGUCUUGCACAAUCCAAUGACCCAGCUGCCAGAGCUCUGUGGGAAGCCUUACUGAGCACCAAGCACAAAGAGGCAGUGAUGGAAGUCCGGAGACAUCUAGUGGAAGCAGCAAGCAGAGAAAACCUGCCAAUCAAGAUGAGUAUGGGGAGAGCCACUCCGGGGCAGCUCAUGUCCUAUAUUCAGCUCUUCAAGAACAACGUCAAAGCUUUAGUGAAUCACUGUGGGCUCCUACAGCUUGGGCUGGCCACGGUUCAAACUCUGAAACACCCGCAGACUGCCAAGUGGGAUAACUUUCUGGCUUUUGAAAGACUCCUUCUCCAGAGCAUUGGGGAGUCAACAAUGUCUGUUGUGUUAAAUCAGCUGCUGCCCAUGAUUAAGCCUUUGGACCAGAGGACCAAUGAUGACUACAGCCCUGAAGAGCUGUUGAUCCUCCUGAUAUAUAUUUAUUCUGUCAGUGGAGAGUUCACAGUGGACAAAAACCUGGGGGAAGCUGAAGAAAAAGUGAAGAAAGCACUGGCUCAGGUCUUUUGUGAAGAGUCUGAAUUGUCACCUUUGCUACAAAAAAUCACAGGCUGUGACUCUUCAAUUAAGCUGACGUUUCACAAAUCCAAAAUUGCUGCAGAUGAGCUCUUCGCCUCGCUUCGGGAUAUCGCUGGAGCUCGGAAUCUCAUGAAACAGUUUAAGUCUGUAUAUGUUCCUGGAAAUCAUACCCACCAGGCAUCCUAUAAGCCAUUGUUGAAGCAGGUUGUGGAAGAAAUAUUUAAUCCUGAGAGGCCAGAUCCAGUGGAUAUUGAACACAUGUCUUCAGGCCUCACUGAUCUCCUUAAAACUGGAUUCAGCAUGUUUAUGAAGGUGAGCCGGCCUCAUCCCAGCGACCACCCUCUCCUGAUCCUCUUCGUGGUGGGCGGGGUCACGGUCUCAGAAGCCAAGAUGAUCAAAGACCUUGUGCCGUCCCUGCAGCCAGGAACCCAGAACAGUGCUGCAUUGUACCACCCCGACAGACAUGUUAAUCUCCACUCUAGAAGGAUACAAUGCAGCCAUUUUCAAAGCUGCGGGACCCGAGUUAGACAACACAGACCUGGGCUCUGCAGUGGCUUUGCGACAACCCAACCCUGUGCCCGGUCAUCUACAGAGGGAGCUGCUCAGAGAAUCUGGGACUUGAGGAGCAGCCGUGAUUGCUAUGUGUCCAUGGUGCAAAAAGUUCCUCCGAAGAGCUAACGGGCCCCAGGAAGCCCCCAAAGGCAGUAGGGAAAAACAGCGGAGGAGUUAUUGAUCAUGGUGCCCUUGAUCUCCAAGCUUCUGAAAGGAGGUCAUCGUGCUGUCCACGCGACUCCUGAAGCCACUUAACAUUCCUGAGCUGUUAUUUGCCACUGACCGGCUGCAUCCAGACCUUGGCUUCUGAGCGGCUGCUAAGAGGAGACCUGCCCGAGGUGGAAACACCCAUCCUGUUGCCUGCCACCAUUCAAGAUAUGCCUCCAAACCCAGUGUCCUCUUGCUAAGUGUGGGGAGGACAGAAUUCUGCCCCAAAGGUCUUGAGAACCAUGUAGCAAAGUGCUUUGCUUGGACUGCCGGCAAGUCUUUAAAAAUAAUAAUAAUAAUUCAUUUUUCUAAAGGUGUCUAUCUUUCAGCUGGCUUCAUUCGACAUAAUUCCCAUUUCUCUGUUUGUGAUCUUCCUGAUUCCAACUGCAAGCUCCUGAAUUCUACAUAAUCGCCUGUUGGCAAGUGUUGGUAGCUUACAAGCUAUUUGAUCUACAGUUGCUCAAGAAAUUAGACAUGCUUUAGAAUUAUGAGUGUGAAGAAAGUUUGAUUUUCCUUAAGAUUAUGUAACUGGGGAGGGUACCUUGCAAAUUGGAUCUGAGAGCUUGCUGAAAAGGCAAGGAACGGAGGGGUUAGCAGCUAGAGCCAUGCUGGUAGCCCACGGGCCACGUAACUUGGCCUGUCAUUACAAAGGGCGGCGCGAGCCCACCAGGCAGGGUCCCCAGGCUACUUGCAACAGUAGUCGGAGAGAGGUUGAUUGGAGGGCUGGCUCUGCCCAUAAAAGCUUUCCUCCCCUCCCAAAGGAAGGCCCCCAUAAAGGUUUCUGGUCCAGGGAGUCUAGAUGGGAACCCCAACCCCUGGGACUUUUAUGAGUUAGUGUUUCUAUUGAAAUAGAAAGCUCUCUUUUCAGUUUGUCUCACUUUUCCUUCUGGUCAUGGCAGAAAAACCUAGACCCAACUAGGGAAAUUAUUUAAGAACUCUGGCAAAAAUGAACUGCUUGGAACCCACACGUUUGUAGGUGUAUGGUUCAUGGAAAUUUCUAGCAUCUCUAAAAGAUGUGUGUAAUGAAGAGAGAAAGCUGAAAAACAGUUCUAGAGUGGAUUAAACAGGUGGGCAAAGUAAAAUGUAAAUCAAAACACUCAUGUGUCUCGGAUUUUAGUUCCUUGUAAAAUGUUA